rnacentral:rRNA from 1 species
UACGAAGGGGGCUAGCGUUGCUCGGAAUCACUGGGCGUAAAGGGUGCGUAGGCGGGUUUUUAAGUCAGAGGUGAAAUCCUGGAGCUCAACUCCAGAACUGCCUUUGAUACUGAAAGUCUUGAGUAUGGGGAGAGGUGAGUGGAACUGCGAGUGUAGAGGUGAAAUUCGUAGAUAUUCGGAGGAACACCAGUGGCGAAGGCGGCUCACUGGUCCAUUACUGACGCUGAGGUGCGAAAGCGUGGGGAGCAAACAGGG